rnacentral:rRNA from 1 species
UGUAUGAAUGGCAUCACGAGGGCUUAACUGUCUCCCCUCCCCAGUCAAUGAAAUUGAUCUCCCCGUGCAGAAGCGGGGAUAAUACCAUAAGACGAGAAGACCCUAUGGAGCUUUAGACGUCAGAGCAGCCCAUGUAAAGCACCCCUUAACAAAGGAAAAAACCAAAUGAAGCCUGCCCUAAUGUCUUUGGUUGGGGCGACCGCGGGGAAAUACAAAACCCCCAUGUGGAGUAGGAAUACACAUUCCUAAACCCAAGAGCUCCCGCUCUAAUGAACAGAAAUUCUGACCAAUAAGAUCCGGCACACGCCGAUCAACGGACCGAGUUACCCUAGGGAUAACAGCGCAAUCCCCUUAAAGAGCCCUUAUCGACAAGGGGGUUUACGACCUCGAUGUUGGAUCAGGACAUCCUAAUGGUGCAGCCGCUAUUAAGGG